AGAUUCAGAAGAACGUUUGGGUAUUUGAUGUACUAAUUAAGAGAUGGAAGCAAUAAGUGCACUUAGAAUUUCCCAUCGUUUUAAAGUUUACCUGAGGUUCCUGAAGCACAGAAGAAGCAUUUUCAUGAAGACUGCAAAAACAGGAGAAAAAGGAGAAUGAUCAGUUCUAUUGAGAGCAAAAGUGUUUCUGGCAGUGUGCUCCCCACUGGCCAUUUAUAAAUAGUGGACAGCCCAGAGCCUGUUGAGUUCUGCAUGGCAUCAGGUUGCAUGCCAGGACCUCUCCUUGAGCAGGGAUGCCUCUCCAGGUUACUCCUCAAAGCUGAGAGUUUUCUUCCUGCAACAGAUUCUUGAAGUCUCAUAAACAGGAUUAAUAACUUGUGUGUGUCUUUUACUUUAUUGUAAAGACUGGUCUAGAAAGUUUCCUCCCCCCCCAAAAAAAAUCAAAGAUGUGCCUUUGUGUCAAAGAUGGACAACAGCAUCCCAGCUCCAUUUUGAAGAGCAUUACCAGCAGAUUGAGGGAGGUUGUCCUUUCCCUCUCCUCAGUCCUUGUGAGGCCACAUCUGGAGUGUGGUGUCUGGAGUGUCCUGGUCUGAGUUCCCCAGUAUAAAAGAGACAUGGAUAUAAAAAAGGAGGUCCAGCAAAAGGACAUGAAGAUAAUUAAGUUAUCAGAGCAUCUGUCUAUGAGGGGAAGCUGUGAGACCUGGGAUUGUUCAGCCUGGAGAAGAAAAGACUACAGGAAGAUGAUAUUGCUGUCUACCAGUACCCAAUCAGAAGAUACAGAGAAGACAGAGUCCAACUCUUUAAAGAGGUUAAAUGAGAAGCAAUGGACACAGGUUGGAACAUGGGAAAUUGCAAUUAAAUAUGAUGAAGCAUAUAUUAUUAUAAGGGUAAUUGAACACUGCAACAUGUUGCUCAGAGAGUUUCUGGGAUAUUUGUCCUUGGAGGUGUUCAAGACUGUACUGGCCACAGCCUUGAACAGUCUGACCUGAUUAGACCUGCUUUUAGCAGGUUUGGACUAGAGACCUCCAAAGGUCCUUCCCGACUGACAAUGUUCUGUGACUAACACACAGCAUUCUGUAUUUCCAGAGAUACCCCACAUUGUUGGGUUCAUCAUGCAGUUCUAGCUAACUCACUCACUGAAAUGGUACAGCCAGUGUCACUGGAAUGGUAUAGCUAGUGUUUUGGUCAAGAGAAAAAAACACUUUGAAAAUCUUAAAUAGUAUCAAGACUACAAAGAUUGGUUUUGAUAGAAUGCUUUUAAGUGGUAGAUUUAUAUCACAAGUAUGUAUUCAAACAAAAAAAGUGCAGUGGUAGAGAAGAAGAUGAACUGUAUGACUAUUGUUUUCUCUUUGCAAUUCCUACUCAUAUGUCAUUGGCAGAAAAUUUUCACAUAUCCUAAGACUAAGUACUCACAAAUAUUUAUGGCAACAAACUAUAUGGUAUCUUGAAAAUGCUAGAUGAAUUUAGAUUGUUUUAUAAAAUUUGCACUAUGCUGUUUGGCUACUCAGAAGUAAGCUAGAAUGUAAAUAAGCAUAGCAGGAUUUUCAGACUUCAUUCUUCUCAUCUCUUAAAGAUUUCUUAUUAUCAGAAUUUCUUAUUCUCAUCUUUACAUUUACCUUUGACUUAUUUUAUUGUUUGGGGUUUUUUACCAGAGAAUUCAUCAUUUGUCCCAGUACAUAAGUAAUUAGUAUUAUUAGGACAAUUUCAAGGGGAAGAAAACAUCACUUCAUUAUGAAAAUUUAAUUUUAAAUGUUUCAAUUUUUUAAAAGUAUUUUUAAUGAUUUUCAGCUAUUCAGAAAUAAAUCAGCCAUUUAUUUAAAAAUA